rnacentral:piRNA from 1 species
GGAUCCUGUAGCAGCGUCGUUCUUG